rnacentral:rRNA from 1 species
CGCGCGGUUCUAUUUUGUUGGUUUCUAGGACCGCCGUAAUGAUUAAUAGGGACAGUCGGGGGCGUCAGUAUUCAAUUGUCAGAGGUGAAAUUCUUGGAUUUAUUGAAGACUAACUACUGCGAAGGCAUUCGUCAAGGAUAUUUUCAUUAAUCAGGAACGAAAGUUAGGGGAUCGAAGACGAUCAGAUACCGUCGUAGUCUUAACCGUAAACUAUUAAGUCUAGGGAUCGGACGGUGUUAUUUUUUGACCCGUCCGGCACCUUACACGGAAGUAUAAGAGCUUAUUCUGGGGAAAUACGGUAGCAAUACUGAAACUUAAAGAAAUUGACGGAAGGGCACCACCAGGGGUGGAGCCUGCGGCUUAAUUUGACUCAACACGGGGAAACUCACCAGGUCCAGACACAACGAGGAUUGACAGAUUGAGAGCUCUUUCUUGAUUUUGUGGGUGGUGGUGCAUGGCCGUUCUUAGUUGGUGGAGUGAUUUGUCUGCUUAAUUGCGAUAACGAACGAGACCUUAACCUGCUAAAUAGCCCGCAUCGCUUUGGCGGUGCGCCGGCUUCUUAGAGGGACUAUCGGCUCAAGCCGAUGGAAGUUUGAGGCAAUAACAGGUCUGUGAUGCCCUUAGAUGUUCUGGGCCGCACGCGCGCUACACUGACACAGCCAGCGAGUCCUUCCUUGGCCGAAAGGCCCGGGUAAUCUUGUUAAACUGUGUCGUGC